GUGUCAGCAGCCGUGGUAAGACAGAGGAUGCAAGCGUUAUCCGGAAUGAUUGGGCGUAAAGCGUCUGUAGGUGGUUUAUUAAGUCUACUGUUAAAGAUCAGGGCUUAACCCUGAGCAGGCAAUAGAAACUAAUAGGCUAGAGUACGGUAGGGGCAGAGGGAAUUCCCGGUGUAGCGGUGAAAUGCGUAGAGAUCGGGAAGAACACCAACGGCGAAAGCACUCUGCUGGGCCGAAACUGACACUGAGAGACGAAAGCUAGGGGAGCAAAUGGGAUUAGAAACCCCAGUAGUCC
rnacentral:rRNA from 1 species